GGCGGGGGGCUUGGUUUUGGACUCGGCGGUCGGGUACACCUGCCGCGCUGUGGAAUCAGGCCUAUGUGGGUGGCGGGACCCCUCCUUUAUCUCACUAUCGGAUGAACCCAGAUGGGAUUAGCUAGUACGCGGGGUAACGGCCCACCUAGGCCACUAUCCCUAGCUGGUCUGAGAGGAUGACCAGCCACACUGGAACUGAGACACGGUCCACACUCCUACGGGAGGCAGCAGUGGGGAAUAUUGCACAAUGGGCGCAAGCCUGAUGCACCCGUGCCGCGUGUAUGAAAAAGGCCUUCGGGUUGUAAAGUACUUUCAGCGGGGAGGAAGGCGAUGUGGUUAAUAACCGCAUUGAUUGACUUUACCCGCAAAAAAAGCACCGGCUAACUCCGUGCCAGCAGCCGCGGUAAUACGGAGGGUGCAAGCGUUAAUCAGAAUUACUGGGCGUAAAGCGCACGCAGGCGGUCUGUUAAGUCAUAUGUGAAAUCCCCGGGCUUAACCUGGGAACUGCAUUUGAAACUGGCACGCUUGACUCUCGUAGAGGGGGGUAGAAUUCCGUGUGUAGC
rnacentral:rRNA from 1 species